UAGAGUUCUUGUACUUGAAUUA
rnacentral:tRNA from 1 species